UCAAAUUGAAUGCUUCCUGUAGUUUGUAAUAUCUUUGAAAUGUUUGUGACUAGCCUCAGUUAUUUAAGAGCAUAAUAAAUUACAUCAUGAGCCAGAGGAUGGGUUUACAAGAUAUCUACAGUUCAGAUAGUAGUGUUUGGAGUCCAUUGUCUGAUAAAAGGAAGAAAAUUAGCUUAAUUUCAAGGCUUUGGAUGUUUUGUGUUACUGUACUGCCUCCUGAUUACUAAAAGCUAUUUAUUAUGUUUUACACCUGCUACUCUACUGCUUGUUAUCUGUCUAAUGACAGAGUAAAUCAGCCAACCUGAGGCUACUCCAAUAAUCCCUCUUUACAUCUUUAACGGAUGCCACCUCAGUAUUCAGUUCAACAAAUAACAGAACUAUUAAAUUUUAGAUAUCAAGCACAACUUUCAUUACGACUUGAAGAUCAAAAUGGCCUAUGGACAUUAACUUGAUAGCAGGUGCAAAUAAGACAACUUACCUUGGGGAGCUACUGAAGAUCUGAUCAUGUCAGAGUAAUGUCAAAGUGCUUACAGUGCAGGUAGUGAUAUAAGAACCUACUGCAGUGAAGGCACUUGUAGCAUUAUAUUGACAAGUGCCACUGGAUAUCUUGCAGAACUACAGAAAUUUUCAAGGUGCAAUGUGGUAUUAAGUGCUUUUUGUUCUAAGGUGCAUCUAGUGCAGAUAGUGAAGUAGAUUAGCAUCUACUGCCCUAAGUGCUCCUUCUGGCAUAAGAAGUUAUAUCUUCAUCCAGUCACUCAGGCUGAUUGAGAAUAUAGAUGUUCCAAUAGCUGCUCAGCAGUCCUCUGUUAGUUUUGCAUAGUUGCACUACAAGAAGAAUGUAGUUGUGCAAAUCUAUGCAAAACUGAUGGUGGCCUGUUAUUGUCUACAUCAAGAAAGUGAAUGUUUUUUACUGCUUGUUUAUGUAUUUUGUUGGUCUUGCUUUCAUAGCGGUUCCUUCAGUUUAGUAAAUAUGACAGCUCCUGUGGUACUAAAGUGCUUAUAGUGCAGGUAGUGUUCAGUAAUCUACUGCAUUAUGAGCACUUAAAGUACUGCUAGCUGUAGAACUACAACUUCAGCAUGCCUUCCUAUCAGACUAACUUGUUUUGUUUAAUUGAACACUGUUCUCUGGUUAGUUUUGCAGGUUUGCAUCCAGCUGUGUGAUACUCUGCUGUGCAAAUCCAUGCAAAACUGACUGUGGCAGUGACAAGUCAGUGAAUAAGUGAGGAAAGUUGUACCCCUUUCUACACAGGUUGGGAUCAGUUGCAAUGCUGUGUGUGCCUGUAGUAUUGCACUUGUCCCGGCCUGUUGAGGUUGGUGGGGACACAGGCUGCAACAUCUUCAGUAAUUUGAUUAUUUUAGGAAGUGACACUGCAUUUUUCCAGAAAAUCUGAAUACCUAAUAACUUGUUUUCUGAACUGUUCCAUGUAAACUAAUGUAUGGCUGGACAUCAAAUGCCACAGACAUUUCUGUAUUUGUAAAUUGUCUUAUUGUAUGCUUACUAAAUUAAUGUUCAAUAA